GAUGAACGCUGGCGGCGUGCCUAAUACAUGCAAGUCGAGCGAACAGGCGAGGAGCUUGCUCCUCUGACGUUAGCGGCGGACGGGUGAGUAACACGUGGAGAACCUACCUAUAAGACUGGGAUAACUUCGGGAAACCGGAGCUAAUACCGGAUAAUAUAUUGAACCGCAUGGUUCAAUAGUGAAAGACGGUUUUGCUGUCACUUAUAGAUGGAUCCGCGCCGCAUUAGCUAGUUGGUAAGGUAACGGCUUACCAAGGCAACGAUGCGUAGCCGACCUGAGAGGGUGAUCGGCCACACUGGAACUGAGACACGGUCCAGACUCCUACGGGAGGCAGCAGUAGGGAAUCUUCCGCAAUGGGCGAAAGCCUGACGGAGAAACGCCGCGUGAGUGAUGAAGGUCUUCGGAUCGUAAAACUCGGUUAUUAGGGAAGAACAAAUGUGUAAGUAACUAUGCACGUCUUGACGGUACCUAAUCAGAAAGCCACGGCUAACUACGUG
rnacentral:rRNA from 1 species